UNUGACUUGAGUGCAGAAGGGGAGAGUGGAAUUCCAUGUGUAGCGGUGAAAUGCGUAGAUAUAUGGAGGANCACCAGUGGCGAAAGCGGCUCUCUGGUCUGUCACUGACGCUGAGGCUCGAAAGCGUGGGUAGCGAACAGGAUUAGAUACCCUGGUAGUNCACGCCGUAAACGAUGAGUGCUAGGUGUUAGGCCCUUUCCGGGGCUUAGUGCCGGAGCUAACGCAAUAAGCACUCCGCCUGGGGAGUACGACCGCAAGGUUGAAACUCAAAGGAAUUGACGGGGGCCCGCACAAGCGGUGGAGCAUGUGGUUUAAUUCGAAGCAACGCGAAGAACCUUACCAGGUCUUGACAUCCCGAUGCUAUUCUUAGAGAUAGGAAGCUACUUCGGUACAUCGGAGACAGGUGGUGCAUGGUUGUCGUCAGCUCGUGUCGUGAGAUGUUGGGUUAAGUCCCGCAACGAGCGCAACCCUUAUUGUUAGUUGCCAUCAUUAAGUUGGGCACUCUAGCGAGACUGCCGGUAAUAAACCGGAGGAAGGUGGGGAUGACGUCAAAUCAUCAUGCCCCUUAUGACCUGGGCUACACACGUGCUACAAUGGUCGGUACAACGAGUUGCGAGCCGGUGACGGCAAGCUAAUCUCUGAAAGCCGAUCUCAGUUCGGAUUGGAGGCUGCAACUCGCCUCCAUGAAGUCGGAAUCGCUAGUAAUCGCGGAUCAGCACGCCGCGGUGAAUACGUUCCCGGGCCUUGUACACACCGCCCGUCACACCACGAGAGUUUGUAACACCCGAAGUCGGUGAGGUAACCUUUUAGGGGCCAGCCGC
rnacentral:rRNA from 1 species